rnacentral:rRNA from 1 species
CAAUAGCGUAUAUUUAAGUUGUUGCGGUUAAAAAGCUCGUAGUUGGAUUUCGGGUGGGACGCAGCGGUCUCGCAUUGCGUUUGUACUGCUGCAGCCCUCCUUCUUGCCGGGGGCGGCCUCUCGGACUUCACUGUCUGGGGGUCAGAAUCGGCGAUGUUACUUUGAGUAAAUUAGAGUGUUCAAAGCAAGCUUACGCUCUGAAUAUAAUAGCAUGGGAUAACACGACAGGACUCUGGCCUAUCGUGUUGGUCUAUAGGACCAGAGUAAUGAUUAAGAGGGACAGUCGGGGGCAUUCGUAUUCCGUUGUCAGAGGUGAAAUUCUUGGAUUUACGGAAGACGAACAUCUGCGAAAGCAUUUGCCAAGGAUGUUUNCAUUGA